rnacentral:rRNA from 2 species
ACGGGAGGCAGCAGUGAGGAAUAUUGGUCAAUGGGCGCAAGCCUGAACCAGCCAAGUAGCGUGCAGGAUGACGGCCCUAUGGGUUGUAAACUGCUUUUGUCGGGGAAUAAAGUGACCCACGCGUGGGUUAUUGCAGGUACCCGGUGAAUAAGGACCGGCUAAUUCCGUGCCAGCAGCCGCGGUAAUACGGAAGGUCCGAGCGUUAUCCGGAUUUAUUGGGUUUAAAGGGAGCGUAGGUGGAAGUGUAAGUCAGCCGUCAAAUUGCGCAGCUCAACUGCGUCCAGCGGUUGAAACUGCACUUCUUGAGUGCACAAGAGGAAGGUGGAAUUCGUGGUGUAGCGGUGAAAUGCUUAGAUAUCACGAAGAACUCCGAUUGCGAAGGCAGCCUUCUGGGGUGCAACUGACACUGAGGCUCGAAGGUGCGGGUAUCAAACAGGAUUAGAUACCCUGGUA